CGAUUCUCUUCGGAGAAGAGCGGCGGACGGGUGAGUAACGCGUGGGUAACCUGCCCUGUACACACGGAUAACAUACCGAAAGGUAUGCUAAUACGGGAUAAUAUGUUUUGAUCGCAUGGUCGAAAUAUCAAAGCUCCGGCGGUACAGGAUGGACCCGCGUCUGAUUAGCUAGUUGGUGAGGUAAUGGCUCACCAAGGCGACGAUCAGUAGCCGACCUGAGAGGGUGAUCGGCCACAUUGGAACUGAGACACGGUCCAAACUCCUACGGGAGGCAGCAGUGGGGAAUAUUGCACAAUGGGCGAAAGCCUGAUGCAGCAACGCCGCGUGAGCGAUGAAGGCCUUCGGGUCGUAAAGCUCUGUCCUCAAGGAAGAUAAUGACGGUACUUGAGGAGGAAGCCCCGGCUAACUACGUGCCAGCAGCCGCGGUAAUACGUAGGGGGCUAGCGUUAUCCGGAAUUACUGGGCGUAAAGGGUGCGUAGGUGGUUUCUUAAGUCAGAGGUGAAAGGCUACGGCUCAACCGUAGUAAGCCUUUGAAACUGAGAAACUUGAGUGCAGGAGAGGAGAGUAGAAUUCCUAGUGUAGCGGUGAAAUGCGUAGAUAUUAGGAGGAAUACCAGUUGCGAAGGCGGCUCUCUGGACUGUAACUGACACUGAGGCACGAAAGCGUGGGGAGCAAACAGGAUUAGAUACCCUGGUAGUCCACGCCGUAAACGAUGAGUACUGGCUGUCGGAGGUUACCCCCUUCGGUGGCGCAGCUAACGCAUUAAGUACUCCGCCUGGGAAGUACGCUCGCAAGAGUGA
rnacentral:rRNA from 1 species